AACUGUAAUCGGCCAACCUCGUCUCUUUCCGUAACUGCUGCAGAAAUGACCGCUCGUCAUUCGUGACCAACUCGUGUUAUUCCGGGACAAGCAAGUCUACCCAUAAUUCCCUGUAUGACCGAGGGCGCCAUUUUGGAACACAAAUGUAAACAAACACUUAAACCUCGUGUAAUCGAUGUACACCGUGAUGCUUGAUUGCGAUAUGCUUACCUCGUGUAUGAAUACAUUGUUCUCAAUCACCUCUAACACGGAAAUCCCGGUCGAAAUCCACCUGAGCCAUCCACAACGAGGACGUCAAGUAUUUCGAAAACUCGAUUGGCAGCCGAAGGAAGGAAGAGCAGCUUGCAGAUGCCAGCAUGUUCAGGGUUUGUGGGGAGGUUCACAGACAUCCUCAGGGAGGAUACCAAGUAUUGAAAUGUCCGGAUGAAUAAAAGAGACAGUCAUCUGUGCAGCAUCAAUGCAAAGAAAGACCAUAGAAGAGCAACAGUGACUGGAAAAUAUUUUGA